rnacentral:rRNA from 1 species
GACGAACGCUGGCGGCGUGCCUAAUACAUGCAAGUAGAACGCACAGUUUAUACCGUAGCUUGCUACACCAUAGACUGUGAGUUGCGAACGGGUGAGUAACGCGUAGGUAACCUGCCUGGUAGCGGGGGAUAACUAUUGGAAACGAUAGCUAAUACCGCAUAAUAUUAAUUAUUGCAUGAUAAUUGAUUGAAAGAUGCAACUGCAUCACUACCAGAUGGACCUGCGUUGUAUUAGCUAGUAGGUGAGGUAACGGCUCACCUAGGCGACGAUACAUAGCCGACCUGAGAGGGUGAUCGGCCACACUGGGACUGAGACACGGCCCAGACUCCUACGGGAGGCAGCAGUAGGGAAUCUUCGGCAAUGGACGAAAGUCUGACCGAGCAACGCCGCGUGAGUGAAGAAGGUUGUCGGAUCGUAAAGCUCUGUUGUAAGAGAAGAACGGGUGUGAGAGUGGAAAGUUCACACUGUGACGGUAUCUUACCAGAAAGGGACGGCUAACUACGUG